GUGGGGAAUAUUGGACAAUGGGCGCAAGCCUGAUCCAGCCAUGCCGCGUGUGUGAAGAAGGCCUUUUGGUUGUAAAGCACUUUAAGCGAGGAGGAGGCUACCGAGAUUAAUACUCUUGGAUAGUGGACGUUACUCGCAGAAUAAGCACCGGCUAACUACGUGCCAGCAGCCGCGGUAAUACAGAGGGUGCAAGCGUUAAUCGGAUUUACUGGGCGUAAAGCGCGCGUAGGUGGCCAAUUAAGUCAAAUGUGAAAUCCCCGAGCUUAACUUGGGAAUUGCAUUCGAUACUGGUUGGCUAGAGUAUGGGAGAGGAUGGUAGAAUUCCAGGUGUAGCGGUGAAAUGCGUAGAGAUCUGGAGGAAUACCGAUGGCGAAGGCAGCCAUCUGGCCUAAUACUGACACUGAGGUGCGAAAGCAUGGGGAGCAAACAGGAUUAGAAACCCCGGUAGUCC
rnacentral:rRNA from 1 species